rnacentral:lncRNA from 1 species
AUCUAUCCUUAUAUAAAAGAAGUUAAGAGGGGGACCAUGGUAAGCUUUUUAAGAUAUAUUGAGCUCUCAUCUUUAUGAUUUUUCUUUCAUUAUUUUUUUAACUUCGACUGACUUAAGCAUUAGAGAGUCCCCACCAGACAAAUUCUAGCAAGAGGACUCCUUUGGCAGGUUCAUCUCUUAAUUGGGAUUAAUGCACACUUAUUCAGUAUCCAUCCAGAGAUCUCAUUGGAGUUCAGUGGCAACAGAUUGGCGUGUC